rnacentral:lncRNA from 1 species
CCUCGGCCUCCCAAAGUGCUGGGAUUACAGGCAUGAGCCACCGUGCCCGGCCAGACUAUCAUUCUUAAGAAGCAAUUCCUUUAAACAUAUAAUCAGGCCAGGGAAACCCCAUCUCCACUAAAAAUACAAAAAAAAUUAGCCAGGCGUGGUGGUGCAUGCCUGUAAUCCCAGCUACUUGGGAGGCUGAGGCAGGAGAAUCACUUGAACCACGGAGGCA